rnacentral:rRNA from 1 species
UACGUAGGGUGCGAGCGUUGCCCGGAUUUAUUGGGCGUAAAGGGCGCGUAGGCGGCUCUGCACGUCCGUUGUGAAAUCGCCCGGCUCAACUGGGCGGGGUCAGCGGAUACGGCGGAGCUUGAGCAAGCUAGGGGGCGAUGGAAUUCCCGGUGCAGUGGUGGAAUGCGUAGAGAUCGGGAGGAACACCUGUGGCGAAGGCGGCCACCUGGGCCGACCCUGACGCUGAGGCGCGAAGGCGUGGGGAGCGAACGGG